GAGAGUAUAGCUCAGUGGUAGAGCGUGUGUCUAGCAAGCACAAGAUCCUGGGUUCAAUCCCUAGUACCUCCA
rnacentral:tRNA from 1 species